GACCCUGGCUCAGGAUGAACGCUAGCUACAGGCUUAACACAUGCAAGUCGAGGGGCAGCAUGGUCUUAGCUUGCUAAGGCCGAUGGCGACCGGCGCACGGGUGAGUAACACGUAUCCAACCUGCCGUCUACUCUUGGACAGCCUUCUGAAAGGAAGAUUAAUACAAGAUGGCAUCAUGAGUCCGCAUGUUCACAUGAUUAAAGGUAUUCCGGUAGACGAUGGGGAUGCG
rnacentral:rRNA from 1 species